AAGCUCUCACCGGCAAAACCGAACAAUUGCAACACCACCUCUAAGCAGAUUGCAACCGCGAACGUGCGACUGUUGGCUGCUGGCUGUUGGCGGUGCGCAUGGCGCGGAGCCUGGCGCGUCUGUCGCAGCCUUAGCCACAGUCAAAGCCACGACUAUUGCCGUUACCAACCGUGUGUGCCGCUUACAAGACACUUUCAGCUUACACAGCAAACGUAAUCGGAAGAAUAAUAAUAGGAAGAGGAACAACAAUAAAAAAGUUACCGAAAAAAAAAAAACAGCAAUUCACUUACAACAAAACGAGCGUACGAAGCAGCGCACGAACUAACUUACGAAUCUGCUGCCAAGUCAACGAAUCGUGAAAAAGCCGAAGCGUAAAUUGUUUGUGUCACAUUGUGGCCGUGGAGUCGGAGUCAGUUUGUUUUUAUACGUGGUCCACAGAACAUGUGAGGCUCGUUGUAACGGACUUGAGCGGAUAACGACGCGCGCUACUAAAACGCAAUUACGCUGUUACGCCGUUACGUGUUAACCCCCCUCGAAAAAUUCUAAUUAAAUUUGCGAGUACCGUUAGAGGAAAAAAAAACGCGUCGAAAUUGAUGACGAUCGCUCAGUGUGACGACAAGUUAACGGGUUUUCUAGUGUAUGCAAGCGAGCGUGCGUGCCUGCGUGUGUGUGUAACGUGUGAGCGGUGGUCGGACAUUUGACGGGUUAACGGAUUUCGGUGUGGACAUUAGUGAAGCGUGAACGGUGAACGGCGAACGGAAGAAAGGCUUGCGAAGCAAAUGCAAACGGAAGUGGAAGUGAGAGCGCGCAGUCGAAUGUGAUUAAGUAGAGAAAGCGGGGCGGGGACGUGUGCAGUGUCAGCAGAACAGCUUAAAUUAAGUGAGACACUCACACACACACUCAUACAUAUAUUAUAUAUAUUUAAUAGGUGGGCACGGUUCGUUAACUGGCAUUUGAAUGCGGCUGUGGUUGCUGGAAUCUUUUUGUGUGAAGAAGCAAAACAACAACAAAUAAUAAAAGUGCUACAAAUUUAAUUUUGAAGUGUGUGCGAAUAACGAAAAUUUUAAUUUACAAACCAAAAAAAAAAAAAACGAUUAGAUUAAUUUACACUAAACUUAUAGAAAUUUAAUAUUUAUGUGAUAAGCAAUAAUAACAAAAUAUAUAUAACAUAUAUAUAUAUAUACAUUUGUGCAAUGUGUACUGAUUUUUGUUAAAAUUUCCAUAAAAAUACUUUGUAUAUAUCAUACUAGUCCAUCAGACCGCUGUAAAACUUAUGAAAUUCAAUAAAAAUAUAACUGCUAUAAAUUUUAUAAACAUCACAUAUAUGUAUAUAUGCAAAACCUUCUUAAAAAAUACCGUUAGUUACGUCCAUAACUACUUUAAUAUGAAUUUUGAUAAAUAUGCUAGUUUGCUGGUGAACUGUAUAUAAUAUGCACCGUUUUUCGGGGAAUUUGUAAAUUAUUGCUAAGCAGGACUGAAAUUAGGGAAUUUAUUAAGCACGAAUCAAACAAAGUUUGGUGAACGUGUAAAAUUUAGCAGCAGAAAGCAAAAAGUCGGCGGCGCGUAAAAAUAUAUGUGUAAAUAUAAUGUGAUGCUGAUAUUUCACAACGAAAAGUGCUAACAUAAUCAAUAACAAUAAAAAAAUAGUGUGACUUAAGG